UACAGAGGGUGCAAGCGUUGUUCGGAAUUAUUGGGCGUAAAGAGCGUGUAGGCGGCCAGACAGGUCCGUUGUGAAAACUCGAGGCUCAACCUCGAGAUGUCGAUGGAAACCGUCUGGCUAGAGUCCGGAAGAGGAGUGUGGAAUUCCUGGUGUAGCGGUGAAAUGCGUAGAUAUCGAGAGGAACACCUGCGGCGAAGGCGGGUUGCUGGGCCGACACUGACGCUGAUGCGCGAAAGCCAGGGGAGCGAACGGG
rnacentral:rRNA from 1 species